GAUGAACGCUAGCGGCAGGCCUAAUACAUGCAAGUCGAACGAUAGUAUUAAGCUUGCUUAAUAUGAAAGUGGCGCACGGGUGCGUAACGCGUAUGAAACCUACCUUAAUCAGGGGGAUAGCCUUUCGAAAGAAAGAUUAAUACCGCAUAAUAUCACGAUGGGGCAUCCUGUUGUGAUCAAAUAUUUAUAGGAUUAAGAUGGUCAUGCGUGACAUUAGCUAGUUGGAGAGGUAAUGGCUCACCAAGGCGACGAUGUCUAGGGGAUCUGAGAGGAUGGCCCCCCACAUUGGUACUGAGACACGGACCAGACUCCUACGGGAGGCAGCAGUAAGGAAUAUUGGUCAAUGGGCGGAAGCCUGAACCAGCCAUGCCGCGUGCAGGAAGACGGCCCUACGGGUUGUAAACUGCUUUUAUUCGGGAAUAAAUCUUUCUACGUGUAGGGAGUUGAAUGUACUGAAAGAAUAAGGAUCGGCUAACUCCGUGCCAGC
rnacentral:rRNA from 1 species